UCAUAAUUGCAAGGUCCCUAAAAUUACAAAAAGAAAGAUUAAAAAACAGAAUUAUUGGGUGAAAAACAAUAACUAAAUGGAAACUCAUGGUAUAUUCUAACAUAAAGUAUACUCCUUGAUUAGAAAAAAUUAAAAAACAGAAUUAUUAGGAGUAUUGCAUAGAUUUAUGUUCUUAGUAUAUGAACUAAUUCUUGUCUACUGUAGCGGGCUCCUUUGAUAAAUUACACAUGUUGUCAAUGCACCUCCAGAUAUAAUGAACAUCGGGUUUACGAAUUUUUGGGCAAUCAUCGUCAGUAUCACAUCUAAG
rnacentral:lncRNA from 1 species